rnacentral:rRNA from 1 species
GACGAACGCUGGCGGCGUGCUUAACACAUGCAAGUCGAACGGAAAGGCCCUGCUUUUGUGGGGUGCUCGAGUGGCGAACGGGUGAGUAACACGUGAGUGACCUGCCCUUGACUUUGGGAUAACUUCAGGAAACUGGGGCUAAUACCGGAUAGGAGCUCCUGCUGCAUGGUGGGGGUUGGAAAGUUUCGGCGGUUGGGGAUGGACUCGCGGCUUAUCAGCUUGUUGGUGGGGUAGUGGCUUACCAAGGCUUUGACGGGUAGCCGGCCUGAGAGGGUGACCGGCCACAUUGGGACUGAGAUACGGCCCAGACUCCUACGGGAGGCAGCAGUGGGGAAUAUUGCACAAUGGGCGGAAGCCGGAUGCAGCAACGCCGCGUGCGGGAUGACGGCCUUCGGGUUGUAAACCGCUUUCGCCUGUGACGAAGCGUGAGUGACGGUAAUGGGUAAAGAAGCACCGGCUAACUACGUG